UCCAGCAGCCGCGGCGAUGGGGACGGGCGUGCAUGGGGGACGGGGCUGUGUGCUGGAGCCGGGCAUCCCCAGGUGCUGCUUCCUGAGACCUGCAAAACGCCGGUUUUCAUUUCUCUGUUUCUUUCUUCUUCUUCAAGCAAUGCAUCAGUAAAUAAACACCCCAGACUGGGAGUCAGUGAGUACUGGCAUGGCCGGUGAAGGCACACGUUUCCAGUUGUGCUCUGAGAGCAGAGAGCAUCUGCGUGACACAAAGGCUGACACACCGGGCGCAGAGGUGGAGGAUGCGGGAGCUGGCCCUGCAUCCCCGCACUGAGCCAGCGGUGGCACAGGAGCACUGAGCCUGUCCCCAGCCCUGGGGCUCCGCAGGUGACAUCCUCCAGCAGCCAAGGGGCGCGGCAGGCACAAGGCCGGGUCUGCAGGGUGCCGUCCCACUGCCGGCCUUCAGGUCGUUUGUUUUUUUUCAGGCUACAUGCCAACUAUGUCACGCCUUUGGAGAAAGGAUGGGAAGUGGGAAAAAAUGGCAAAACUCUUGAGAGGGUAGCACAGUGGGUGACACAGGACUCAGCCCUGCGUCCUGUCGUGAGCGCAUCCCUGGGCUCCAGCCACAGAAGCCCCGAGCCAGCCCUCAGCCAUUGGAAGAAAAAUCACCCCUGAUAAAGAAAUGCUGCCACCCCAAAUCAGUGAGAGACGGAUUUAUUCAUUUCCCUGACAUUUUAAUGGUUUCUCCCCUUUUUGCAGGAAGAUGAUUACAAAUUAAGCAGCAUUUAAACGCUUUUUACUGUCAACAAUUAAAAGGGGUGAAGGCGGGCGAGCAAUUCAUUCCCCGGGAAACGCGCUGGCUCUCGGCGGGCGCCGACGGCCCUUCCCUCUACUGUACACAGCACAAUGGCCCCGAGCACGCCAUUAAUUUUGCAGGACGUUCAAAAGCAAAUUAAAAUAUAAAAAGCCCCUGGGCACAAAGAUAGAUACCGAGGGAGGGGGCGGCGCAGGUCAAGCUCGCAGAAUUGAAGUCUUAGCAACUGGGAAGGUUUAAGCACAGCCCCGCACGCUGCGUUCAGGUGCCACCUUUGCCCACCGUCCCCAGUUUCUGUGUCCCUGCCAGACCCAGUGCUGUGCCAGCAGCUGAAAGCCGCUAGUGGGGCAGCUGUUAGCACUGCCACAGGGUUCCGAGGUGGAAGCUGCAGUGAUUUGGGUGUCAGACGCUCUUUGGGUAAGCAUGCUGGCCACAUCUUGCUGGGUCUUUUUAAACACAAGGUGGUCCCAAGACUGAUUUUUAGUGGGGGGAUGCUUGAUGGAGGGAGGGAAAACCCUAUGGCUGCAAGCCUGGAGAUGCACAUCCCUGCUCUCCAGCAGCCUGGUCCCAAAGCAGCGCAAUCGCCAGAGACGUGAUGACGAGCAAGACGCGACGUGUGACAGCGCGCCCCGUCCGAGUCACAGCCGGGGAUGCUGCAGCGCCGCCCCCACCCGCUGCCUCUGCCAGAGCAGCAAUUCCACCGAAAACCGGCGUGGCCACGGGUGAGGGAGGCAGCGUGGGGUGGGUCUCCCUCGGCACUGGGCCCCGGUGGAGUUUAUGGAUGCGGGAGGUGCACUGCAGGAGAAAGGCGACACGUCCCCUUUAAAAGGAAAUAUAAUUUACAGUGUGCAGCCAGGCGGGCCAUAGUUUCAAUCUCGUUUACUAUAGAGAAAACUCUGCUAGCUGUUCUCUAUCCCACAAAUCCGAUUUAAUCAGACAAGCCAGCCAGCGUGGCUUGAAGUAAAAACGGAUAAUUAGUAAACAGAGAGCUACUUCAGUGCUUCAUUGGCAUUCGAGCCGGGCUAGUGUGUCGCAUUUAAAAUGCAGUCUGAUGAAGUUUACAAAAUCAAACCAUUUGUUACUCCUAUUGAAGAGGCUUCAGGCCACUUGCAAUUAAAUUGGAAUUAGUGCUUAGAAUGAGAUACAGCAAAUUCAUACUAAAAAGGGAUCUGACUUUCAGACAUUUGACUUCAAGUUUUUCCCCCACGCUAGAGCACGCGUGCUGGCCUGCCGGCCCCCCAGAGCCCCUGGCAGCACUGCCAAGCCCAGACCUACUGUGUGGCUGGGGAAUGGGGUGACUCGGGGAUGCUGGCAGCAGGGGAGGGGGGACAAAGGAGCGGUGCCACCAUGCUGGUGGCCAUCCCCAUGGAGCCCCAGCACGGUGGCAGCACGGGGCUGGCAGUCCCCAGGCCAGCGGCACCAGCAUCGAGAUGUGCAAACCAAACUGCCCCGCCCUGGGUCCUCUUCAGAAUGCUGCCAUCUUUCCCUGCCUGCCCUCAGACCCAUGUUAGCAGACUGGAAAAACGAGCAGAUCCAUCCACUGUUGAAAUAACAGGAAGAGGGAAUGAAAGGCUGUGGAGGGGCACACUGGGAAGGCCCCAGCAUUAUCACGGGUGUGAGCACGCUCACGUCAAAGGGUGCUGACAGAGCCUGUUGCUGCCUCAUGCACCCGAAAACCCCCAAAACCUCAGCUCAAGUCCUGAUAAUUCAGGGUCUUCCACAAGGCUCCCUCCUCCACUCUUCAUGUUUAACAUCAUCCCACAUGGUUCAUGUGCCAGAGGUGACCUGACACUGCUGCUGUCCUACAACAAAGGUGAGCGGCUCCAAAACAUCCUGGCCAUGCACAGCAGCAGCCCAAAGGCUGUUGGCACUCCUGAGAUGAGAUUUCAGGGACAUUUGAUGAUUUUUGUCAGCAUGUCAAAGGCUCUCUACCAGCAGCACCGGGGAGGAAGGUGCCAUUGGCAAAGGUGGCCAGAGAGUGGCAGAGAAGCCCCUGUCAGCCCUGCCUGCAAGAAGGCUGGGAGAGGCAACAGUGGGGCACAUUGCCUGGAGCAUCCCUGCCACAGCUCCAGCACCCAAGCUCAGGCAGCUCUGGCCUGAAGGACAGCCUGAAGGUGCCCAGCUCAGCUCACAAGGGGCCCUGGGAGCACUGCACAUGCUGCUGCCAUCGAGCUGGAAAGCGGGCACAGCACAGGCCUGGGCAGCACCAGCACCAGGACUCACAGACUGCCCCAGGAUGAUGGUGGGUGUAUGUGCAGGGUAAGAAAAUCAACCCCGUUUUGGAGUCUGUUUUCAGGAUUAUUAUGAAACCCAAAGUGGUGUUUUUGGUGGCAGCACCGAAGUGCACCCACAGGCAGGGGCAAAGGAGCCUCCCCUGAAUGCUGCUGUGGGGACACAACACCUGCAGAGGCCUGCCUGGAUGCAGGGAUGCUGUGCAGAGCCGUGUCGUGUGGUGCCACCCACUCCAGUGCUAUUGAGAGGUGAUGGCAUUCAUUACUGUGCUGAGUCAAACAGCCCCUACAACCUUCAUGGUUCAGUGGAGAAAGGGGGGAAAACCCCCAGAAGAUAAACACAGGAAAUGUGUGCAUUUUGUGCCAGAGUCACCAAAUCAUCCCAGUUUCAAAGGCUGCCUCUGGACUCCACAGCUUGGCUUCUGUGCUAAUUAACAUCUUUAUGGAAGGCAACUUGUCCCAAGGGGGCAUUUGUUUGAUUAUUAUUAUUUACUUAGAGAUAGCACAGCUUUCUUCCCAACUUUAACCGACUAUGGAAAAUUAAUUUUUAAAAAGCAGCUGACGCCGCCUGCUCUCCUGCCCCUGCUGGUUUUCCUCCUGGGAUGGAUGUGGACACUCUGGCUGCAACAGGAGGGCAGGGCAAGCUUCUGGCACUGCCUGCUGCCUCCAUGCCAGCUCACCCUUUUACAAACCCUGAGGAAAACUCUGGCGUUUCAGGGCAGUUGUACAACACUGACCUUGCAAGCACAGGGGAUUAACAAACCCCCCAAAAUAAAUGCCUCAUUUUUUGCUCCUGCAGUGAUGCACAGGGCUGCUUCCCAGCCAGCCACGCUCCUGCUCUCCCCACUGCCCAGGGCAGGGUGCACAUGGAGGAUGUUUGGGAUGCUGGUGCCCGCAGCAGCCUGGGCAAUGCGUGCCAGGCCCUGAGCUGCAGCUCUGGCACGGGCAGCUCAUGCCUGCUGGGGGUGAUUUAUUCCAGGGGCCAUCUGGACCUGGGGGACAAUGUGGUCCCGUAUCCUCGUGAGCUGGCUCAUUAGUCACACCCUCGUAGCUCGACCUCUCUGUCUUCCUUUGAGUAUGGUGGGACAAGAGCAUCCCCUUCUCGCCUGCCUUUUGGUGGCCCGCCGCUCCCCCAUGCCCAGUUGGUGGCACCUUGUGCCCUCCCCACCACCCUCCACCUCCAUCACUGCCACCAUUGCCACCAUCACCACCUUCCCUCCCCGUGUUUCCUGGGAUUGCUCACAAAGUGAUUACGAGGCACGUGCGGGGAGGGAAGGAGCCAGGCGGCGAUUAGCGGCGGUGGCUUUAUGGCAACAGGCACACAACUCAUUCGUUUCAUGUUUUGCAGAAUAUAAAAGCGCCGAAACAUCUUAAUUUUAAAUUCUUAUCAUUGAAUUUACUGCUUUUCUCUCGCAAUGAUUUGUGUUGCUUUUUAAUUUUUACAGUCUCUACAGAAGCCAGAUGCUACUGCCUAGGGCCAAAAUAAUAAAAACCCGCUGCAGUCGCGAGUUACAGAACAAAAAGGAAACGCGCGGCUGACAGAAGUUAAUAUCUCAAUUUAACAGUGCUGCUCCGCUAAUGAUCCUUUGAUAUGUGUUUAUUUAGAAAGGUCUGAUCUUGACCUUGAAAGCAAACUAAACCGCAAAGUCUUUAUGAGAGGAGAGAAAGACUUUAUUUAUAGACUGGCUUUGCGUCAAUCACGGCGGCAGCUGGACCCGCGCUGCUGAAGCUCCGCGGCUGCCUGUGGGCCCAAACGGGGCCUUCAGCAGGAAAUGUGUUUUUGGGAGGGUGUGGGAUCAGCUGCCAUGGGGGACUGCAACGUGUCCCCAUCUCCAGCGCAGCAGGGAGGGGCAAUCCAAGGGAUGUGGGCAGCUCCAGGCCUGUGGGGGAUGCUCUUGGGGGACAGCACUGCUCCAGACACACCCCUGUCCCCAAAACAAGCCACCCUGGAGUGUUGUAUGCCUAACCCCUCCUUCCAGCACUGGAAAGUGCUGCCUCUGCUCCCCAGUCUACUCCCUGAAUGUGGUCCCCGGGCUUUGGAAGGAAGGGAGUUCAGCAUCGCCCCAGCCCACACUGACAGAGCCUGAGCAGUGUUUCCUGCACUUCCCGAAGAAACCGAGUGCUAUGCAAACCUGGCAGAGGGAGUUUUUAAGGCCCAAUCCUUUUUAUUGCAUUUCCUCCUGGGUGGGGGAGGUGGGAGGUUCCUGAGCUUUUAAUGCUUCUAGCCUGGGAUGCACUGAGGACACUUCACACUCAUGGAGUGCUGUGGUCUCCAGCUCAAUUUCCAUUUUUUCAAGCCAAACAGUUGUUUGAAGUUGUUUGCAGUCCCUAAAGCCUUCUGGCCGAAGCUGGAGGCACAUCCUCCUGGCAAAGUGGUAACCCCAAAGCCUUUUUAUUGUACUGAAUAUCUAUCAAAAUAUAUCAAUACAUAUUAAACCCAUUCAGGCAGACUCAUGAUCAUCCUUGGCAAAAACCAUCACUCAGUUGUUCCAGGUACUGAUGGAAAACUGCCCCCUUUCCUGGCAAAACACAUCACCUGGCCAAAUGCAGCAAUCUGGUAUCUGAACAUCCAUGUGCAACACCUCCCUUUUGUGCUGCUUUCCCCUAAGCUCACACCAUUCUGGAGAAUGCCAGAUUCAGCCUUGCUGUUCCCAAGGAAGCUGUGCAUUGGGACACCUCUGCCCUUCCUGAGAACCAGUUUCUCUGGGGCAACCACCGCCAAGUCAUGGUGGCAUUUCUGGCCACUGCAUCAGAUGGGAAGUUGUCACACACACUCAUCAUCACUGCACCAGCUUCCCAGAUUUCCUCUUCCCAGUUGGAAACUGGACUGAAAUCAGCUGAAAAAACAAUCUGACUUUUUGCUGAAAACCCAGAGUAUCUCCCCCACUGCUUCUGAACUGAUGCGCUAGAAACUGCUCCAUCUCCCAAAAAAGAGCUUUGGUGAGGAGACCGAGGGGUCUUUCCAUGGGAGACCACCAUCACCAUCACCACGGGAGACCACCAUCACCACUGCAUCGUCCCACCUGGCAGAGUGCACCACCCGCCCACUGCCAAUCCGUUCCACUCCUGCAUCUCUCCUGUUCAAGGCGGCACCGCUCUGGCAUCCUCCAGUCCCACGGAGUUGCCACGGAGCCCUGCUUCACACCCCAACCAACAAAAUGACCUUUUUGGUGCUGAGGCGGCUGCCUGGCAGAGCCUGGCCGGUGCAGCGACCGGCUGCCGCAAGGCACAAAGCCGGGACUCGCAGCAUCUGCUUAUUAUUCCUGCACCCCCAUCAUUAAAAAAAGAGAAAAGAUGAAAAGGCCCCAUCGGCAAAGCCGGGGAGACGUGGAGCGGCACCGAGCGCAGCCUGGCCCCCAGUUGUUGGGGGUUUUUGUACAGCGGGGAGACGCGAAUCCUGGGGG